GCGGCAAUAGCUCAGCUGGAUAGAGCAACGGUCUUCUAAACCGUAGGUCGAGAGUUCGAAUCUCUCUUGCCGCA
rnacentral:tRNA from 1 species